rnacentral:rRNA from 1 species
AGGACGAACGCUGGCGGCGUGCUUAACACAUGCAAGUCGAGCGGUAAGGCCUUUCGGGGUACACGAGCGGCGAACGGGUGAGUAACACGUGGGUGAUCUGCCCUGCACUUCGGGAUAAGCCUGGGAAACUGGGUCUAAUACCGGAUAUGACCUCAGGUUGCAGUGACUUGGGGGUGGAAGGUAUUUAUCGGUGCAGGAUGGGCCCGCGGCCUAUCAGUCUUGGUUGGUGGGGUAAUGGCCUACCAAGGCGACGACGGGUAGCCGACCUGAGAGGGUCGACCGGCCACGACGUGGGACUGGACGACACGGCCAGACUCCGACGGGAGCAGCAGGUAGGGAAUAUUGGACUAACGAAGUGGGACGAAAGCC